AGAUCAUCAGCAUCUCUAGUCAGUCUUCUGAUGUGGUUGCAUGUCUCUUGCAGUACUUUUGAUGCCGGCACCUGAGACAUGUCCAAAAGCAUGAAGAGUGUAUUGCAAUCUAGGACAAGCCUGCAUUAGCAUCGGUCCAUGCAAUAUUUUCGGUUGCACAGAGGAUUACUGCACAAGAGAGCUGCAAUAGCAAGGGUCACAUGACAAUGCCACCAUUUCUGUACUUUUCUAUGCAUGGAAAAAGUUUUCAAAAUGUUUCUAGAAGUGGAAUGGAUAUUCAGAAAAGAUAAUUGUUAACAUACCCUUCUGUUCUUUGAACCAGAAUGUGGCAACAAAGCUUGUAGCUUUAAGAUGAGAUUAUUGAUCUCAUCUUCUGUGGAUCCAGAACCUCUUGACCUUCUGCUAGACAUGAUUUUGGCUUGUUUUGUGCUA